CACACAUUGGAAAUGCUACACAUAAUUAACACACCAACCAACAAACGACUAAACUACAAGACAGACACAGAAAAUUGCGCUCACUUGUACAGACACCUCUUAAACAGCCAAACAACCUCAGUAACAAUCUCCACGUCAAAAAGCGCAGACGUGUAAAAUAAUUGCCCUGAAGACGGUUUGCCGAUGUGCAACCGAAAUAUAUCGGAAGAAAAUUAAAA